UUCAGUUGUCAGAUUUCUGAAGCUAAGCAGACUUUGGCCUGGUUAGUAGUUGGAUGGGAGACUACCAGGAAUACCAGGUGCCACAGGGG
rnacentral:rRNA from 1 species